CCUGCAUGAUGACAAGCAAAUGCUGACUAAUGUGAAGAUCUUAAUUAUUAGAAAAAAAAAAGAUUUAACUUCAUAAGAGU